rnacentral:lncRNA from 1 species
GGGGGAGGUAAUUGUCUCCAAUCGGUUCUGGCGAAUCGGAUAGCCUCUUUACUUGCUGCGGAAGCUUUUGCAUGCUCUCAAGCAGUGAGGUUGGGGAUGGGGAUAGGUGUGGAUGCAGUAGAAAUCAAAGGGGAUGCAUUGACAGUUAUCAAAAAGUGUUAGUCCAAUGUUGAAGAUAAGUCGAAAAUAGGAGCUUAUAUUAAAGAUAUUCACCAAAAUAAGAAUCAUUUCCACAAGAUCUAUUUUAGACGUAUAUCAAGAUGCGCAAACCAAACGGCACAUAUAAUCGCCAUAGAAAGCCUUAAGAGAGGCGAGCAGGUUUACCUGGAACAGGCAGUGCCACCUUAUGCCAUGCCUUCGCUGGGGUUAGGACGAGAACCAGACUGAAGAGACGGAGUGAUUUUUUCACAAACGGAGAAGGUGCUCAAUGGUUUUUUUUUUCUCUU